rnacentral:rRNA from 1 species
UACGUAGGGGGCAAGCGUUGUCCGGAUUUAUUGGGCGUAAAGAGCGUGUAGGCGGCCGGACAGGUCAGCUGUGAAAACUCGAGGCUCAACCUCGAGACGUCGGUUGAAACCGUCUGGCUAGAGUCCGGAAGAGGAGAGUGGAAUUCCCGGUGUAGCGGUGAAAUGCGCAGAUAUCGGGAAGAACACCCGUGGCGAAGGCGGCUCUCUGGGACGGUACUGACGCUGAGACGCGAAAAGCGUGGGGAGCGAACAGG